AAGACCUUACUUCAUAGGAUCAUUUCUAUAGUAAGCUCUUCACGAGAACUCUUACUUUGUUUAGUUUAACUAUAAGUAGU